GAUGAACGCUGGCGGCGUGCUUAACACAUGCAAGUCGAACGAUGAAAGCGGGAGCUUGCUCCUGCUGGAUUAGUGGCGAACGGGUGAGUAACACGUGAGCAAUCUGCCCCGAACUCUGGGAUAAGCGUUGGAAACGACGUCUAAUACCGGAUACGACGCGCGAAGGCAUCUUCUGCGCGUGGAAAGAGCUUCGGUUCGGGCUUAGCUCGCGGCCUAGCAGCUAGUUGGUGAGGUAACGGCCCACCAAGGCGACGACGGGUAGCCGGCCUGAGAGGGUGACCGGCCACACUGGGACUGGGACACGGCCCAGACUCCUACGGGAGGCAGCAGUGGGGAAUAUUGCACAAUGGGCGCAAGCCUGAUGCAGCAACGCCGCGUGAGGGACGACGGCCUUCGGGUUGUAAACUGCUUUUGUACGGAACGAAAAGACUCUUUCUAAUAAAGAGGGUCCAUGACGGUACCGUAAGAAUAAGCACCGGCUAACUACGUGCCAGCAGCCGCCGUAAGAC
rnacentral:rRNA from 1 species